UUUCUACUCCCUCUGUCCGAAAAUACUUGUCAUCAAAAUGAAUAAAAAGGAAUGUAUCUAGAACUAAAAUACAUCUAGAUACAUUCACUUUUAUUCAUUUUGAUGACAAGUAUUUCCGGGCGGAGGGAGUACUAU
rfam:Triticum aestivum genome assembly, contig: Triticum_aestivum_CS42_TGACv1_scaffold_147301_2BS